rnacentral:rRNA from 1 species
UGGGGAAUCUUAGACAAUGGGGGCAACCCUGAUCUAGCCAUGCCGCGUGAGUGAUGAAGGCCUUAGGGUUGUAAAGCUCUUUCAGCUGGGAAGAUAAUGACGGUACCAGCAGAAGAAGCCCCGGCUAACUCCGUGCCAGCAGCCGCGGUAAUACGGAGGGGGCUAGCGUUGUUCGGAAUUACUGGGCGUAAAGCGCACGUAGGCGGACUGAAAAGUUGGAGGUGAAAUCCCAGGGCUCAACCUUGGAACUGCCUUCAAAACUAUCAGUCUGGAGUUCGAGAGAGGUGAGUGGAAUUCCGAGUGUAGAGGUGAAAUUCGUAGAUAUUCGGAGGAACACCAGUGGCGAGGGCGGCUCACUGGCUCGAUACUGACGCUGAGGUGCGAAAGCUUGGGGAGCAAACA